rnacentral:rRNA from 1 species
UACCGGAUAGGCAAUUAUUCCUGUAAUGGUUUUUUGUUUAAAUGUUUUUUCGCCUAAGGAUGGGUCUGCGGCCGAUUAGGUAGUUGGUUAGGUAAUGGCUUACCAAGCCUUUGAUCGGUACGGGUUGUGAGAGCAAGAGCCCGGAGAUGGAACCUGAGACAAGGUUCCAGGCCCUACGGGGUGCAGCAGGCGCGAAACCUCCGCAAUGUGAGAAAUCGCGACGGGGGGAUCCCAAGUGCCAUUCUUAACGGGAUGGCUUUUCAUUAGUGUAAAGAGCUUUUGGAAUAAGAGCUGGGCAAGACCGGUGCCAGCAG